GGAAGGGGUGAGGUUAAUACCUUAGCAAUUGACGUUACCCGCAGAAGAAGCACCGGCUAACUCCGUGCCAGCAGCCGCGGUAAUACGGAGGGUGCAAGCGUUAAUCGGAAUUACUGGGCGUAAAGCGCACGCAGGCGGUCUGUCAAGUCGGAUGUGAAAUCCCCGGGCUCAACCUGGGAACUGCAUUCGAAACUGGCAGGCUAGAGUCUUGUAGAGGGGGGUAGAAUUCCAGGUGUAGCGGUGAAAUGCGUAGAGAUCUGGAGGAAUACCGGUGGCGAAGGCGGCCCCCUGGACAAAGACUGACGCUCAGGUGCGAAAGCGUGGGGAGCAAACAGGAU
rnacentral:rRNA from 1 species